rnacentral:rRNA from 1 species
GGUCCCGCGUGGUAAGUGCGGGAUCUGGCCUGCCCUAUGAUUUAGGUAAGAUUAAAUGGCCGCAGUAUUUUGACUGUGCAAAGGUAGCAUAAUCAUUAGUUCCUUAAUUGGGAUCUGGCAUGAAGGGUUGGACAAGGGAAAAGCUGUCUAGAUGAUAAUAAAUUUGAAUUUUAUUUUUAAGUGAAAAGGCUUAAAUGAUCUUGGGGGACGAUAAGACCCUGUAGAGCUUUAUUUUUAUUUAUUAUGUGAUAAUAAUAAGUAAGGAUUUUGUUGGGGUGACGGGGAGAUAUAAUUAACUCUCUUUGUUGAGUUUUAUUUCUUGAUAUUAGGAGGAUCCACAAUUAGUGAUAUUAGGAUUAAGUUACCUCAGGGAUAACAGCGUAAUUUUUUCUGAGAGUUCUUAUCGAAGAGAAUGUUUGCGACCUCGAUGUUGGAUUAAGGAGUUUUGGUGGCGGAGGAGCUACUAUGGAGGGUCUGUUCGACCCUUAAAUCUUUACA